CACCGCCCGCUGACUCGCAACUCCUCGUCAUCCUUCACCAUGACCAAGGAUAGAUUAGCAGCCCUCGUCGCGGCCCAGUCGGACGAUGACGAUGUGGCGGACGAUGUGUCCGUCAACGUCGGGGCGCCGGAUGACUUCAUGACGGAAUUUUUCGCGGAGGUGGAGGAGAUCCGCGAAAUGAUAGACAGGAUCCAGACAAACGUGGAAGAUGUGAAGAAAAAGCACAGCGCCAUUCUCUCCGCGCCGCAGACCGAUGAGAAGGUGAAACUAGAACUGGAAGACCUGAUGUCUGACAUCAAGAAAACCGCUAACAAAGUGAGGGCUAAAUUAAAGGUGAUAGAGCAAAACAUCGAGCAAGAGGAGCACACCAAUAAAUCGUCAGCAGAUCUAAGGAUACGCAAAACUCAGCACUCGACGUUAUCUAGGAAGUUCGUCGAGGUGAUGACGGAGUAUAAUCGAACACAAACCGAUUAUAGAGAGCGGUGUAAGGGAAGAAUACAACGACAGCUCGAGAUCACGGGGAGAACAACCACCAACGAGGAACUCGAAGAGAUGCUGGAACAAGGAAAUCCAGCCGUUUUCACGCAAGGGAUCAUUAUGGAAACGCAACAAGCAAAACAAACUCUUGCGGACAUCGAGGCGCGUCACGCUGACAUCAUUAAACUCGAAAACUCCAUCAGGGAGUUGCACGACAUGUUCAUGGACAUGGCCAUGUUGGUAGAAAGUCAGGGCGAGAUGAUAGAUCGCAUAGAGUACCACGUGGAACACGCGGUGGACUACGUGCAGACAGCCACGCAGGACACCAAAAAAGCACUCAAGUAUCAAAGCAAAGCCCGACGGAAAAUGAUCUUCAUCAUAAUCUGCGUCCUAAUAUCGGCGGUCAUACUAGUCGCCAUAAUAGUAGGGUGCCUUCCAAGAACCUAAACGGCCGAGGGGGGGUGUUUUUUGUAGGGGAAGGAAGGGUAUGGGUGUCAAACAAGAAGAGUUUAAAGAUUUUGAAAAAGAAGAAAUUGUUCCUGAUAUCGAUCUGCGUGACGAUAGCAGUCAUCAUUCUGAUUAUCAUUUUGGCAGUUAGUUUAAG
rnacentral:misc_RNA from 1 species